AUUGAACGCUGGCGGCAGGCCUAACACAUGCAAGUCGAACGGUAACAGGAAGCAGCUUGCUGCUUUGCUGACGAGUGGCGGACGGGUGAGUAAUGUCUGGGAAACUGCCUGAUGGAGGGGGAUAACUACUGGAAACGGUAACUAAUACCGCAUAACGUCGCAAGACCAAAGAGGGGGACCUUCUGGCCUCUUGCCCUCGGAUGUGCCCAGAUGGGAUUAGCUAGUAGGUGGGGUAACGGCUCACCUAGGCGACGAUCCCUAGCUGGUCUGAGAGGAUGACCAGCCACACUGGAACUGAGACACGGUCCAGACUCCUACGGGAGGCAGCAGUGGGGAAUAUUGGACAAUGGGCGCAAGCCUGAUGCAGCCAUGCCGCGUGUAUGAAGAAGGCCUUCGGGUUGUAAAGUACUUUCAGCGGGGAAGAAGAGAGUAAAGUUAAUACCUUUGCUCAUUGACGUUACCCGCAGAAGAAGCACCGGCUAACUCCGUG
rnacentral:rRNA from 1 species